rnacentral:rRNA from 1 species
UACGUAGGGUGCAAGCGUUUGUCCGGAAUCAUUGGGCGUAAAGAGCUCGUAGGCGGUCUGUCGCGUCUGCUGUGAAAACCUGGGGCUUAACCCUGGGCUUGCAGUGGGUACGGGCAGACUAGAGUGCGGUAGGGGAGACUGGAAUUCCUGGUGUAGCGGUGAAAUGCGCAGAUAUCAGGAGGAACACCGGUGGCGAAGGCGGGUCUCUGGGCCGUAACUGACGCUGAGGAGCGAAAGCAUGGGUAGCGAACAGG